AUGCUCACUUUGGCAGCACAUAUACUAAAAUUGGAAUGAUACAGAAAAGAUUAGCAUGGACCCUGUGAAAGAUGACACACAAAUUUGUGAUAAGAAUAAAGGACAA